CUCAUUAUCUAAUUAGUUCCACUCAAAAGCCAAACUAGUCACCCCCACACUUUAACUUUUACAAAGUUCAUAACCAUUCAAGUGCUCAUGAGAUAUGAAAGGGGUUCAAAUAGAUGGUUAAUUCAAACAAAUGGGUAAGGCUUGUACUGUGGUUGCCAAAGAAACAGGAUUACAGGCUCAAAGGGGUUAACUACGAUACACAAUAAUUAGGCGGAUAAAAUAUUUAUAUGGCUUAACAAAGAAAUAUCUAUAUCACUUCCAAGACUGAACAAAACUACUAUUUCGCUUUGCAAACACACGGGGCAAGUUCUAGACAUCAAAUGCAGUGCACAGAAUAACACAAAACCUUACACAUACGACACAUAACUCACUUAGGAUUGGACUCAUCAAGACACUCUAGUCAAAGAAGUUAAGUAAAGUUAAGAUCAUACAAUUUAAGGUAUUUAUACAAGAGUCAAAAACUAAGCCUAAGUGUCACAACCAAAGUACCAUCAUUCUCAAGGCAUAAUAAUUCAAGGGAUAUUGCUUCAAUUCAAUUCACAACGAGUCAAAAACUGAGCCUAAGAACCAAAGUACUCACUAUUCUCGGGGCAUAACCACGUCAAUAGAUAUUUCUUUAAUUCAAAGCACAACACCAUGGCUUCUCUCCUAAAAAAAUAAAACUACCUACACCCGGUACAAACAAAACCCUUGGAAAAGAACCGUGGCCCAAAGAAACACCAAGGGGGAGUUACUACACUACCUAAGAAAAAAGAAUUCUAGACUAAUUUCCCUCAAGAAAAUUGUCUAAAGGAUCUGUCAUCAGGAACAAUCCACAUAUUUUUUGAUUUUUUUUUCAUUUUUCCUAAAUAAAAAAAAUUAUUCAAUUAAACUAAAACAACUAAAACAGCAUAGAAAGUCACUCAGACAAUCUCCUCACCCCAUACUUAAAAUUGUGCAAUGUCCUCAAUGCACACCAUAAAUAAUAAGAGGGUAAAAGAGACUCCCUGGUACGCCAAAGGCCGAAUAAUUAGCAGCUCAUGGGAUACUCAGACUUCUCCCAAGUAUGAUUUUUUGUGCGGGUACCUCACACUUAGUUUCAACCACUUGCUCGCUUUUGCACAUGCCUAUUGGCUUUGACUCCAUAUGCUCAUACUCCUAUAAAAAAAAUUGCUACAAAGAUAGAAAAAUAAAAUAAAUAAAAUUAAAUAAAAAAUAAAAGAAAGCAGUAAAGAUAUGUUGCCUCCCAACAAGCGCUUGAUUUAAAGUCGCGGUACGACUUGAACUAAUUUUCGUCUCCACCUUCAACUUAUGAAAUGUACCCCUAACUUGGCAUUCAGUCUGUGGCUAUGCACCUUUGGUGGGGCUACAAAGAUAAC
rnacentral:lncRNA from 1 species